rnacentral:rRNA from 1 species
CAGUCGCCGCGGUAAUACGGAGGGCGCGAGCGUUACCCGGAUUUACUGGGCGUAAAGGGCGUGUAGGCGGCCUGGGGCGUCCCAUGUGAAAGGCCACGGCUCAACCGUGGAGGAGCGUGGGAUACGCUCAGGCUAGAGGGUGGGAGAGGGUGGUGGAAUUCCCGAAGUAGCGGUGAAAUGCGCAGAUACCGGGAGGAACGCCGAUGGCGAAGGCAGCCACCUGGUCCACUUCUGACGCUGAGGCGCGAAAGCGUGGGGAGCAAACCGGAUUAGAUACCCGCGUAGUCCCUGUCUCUUAUAC